GUGUCAGCCGCCGCGGUAAUACGUAGGGUGCAAGCGUUAAUCGGAAUUACUGGGCGUAAAGCGUGCGCAGGCGGUUGUGCAAGACAGAUGUGAAAUCCCCGGGCUCAACCUGGGAAUUGCAUUUGUGACUGCACGGCUAGAGUGUGUCAGAGGGGGGUAGAAUUCCACGUGUAGCAGUGAAAUGCGUAGAGAUGUGGAGGAAUACCGAUGGCGAAGGCAGCCCCCUGGGAUAACACUGACGCUCAUGCACGAAAGCGUGGGGAGCAAACAGGAUUAGAUACCCUAGUAGUCC
rnacentral:rRNA from 1 species